GAUGAAGAACGCAGCGAAAUGCGAUAAGUAGUGUGAAUUGCAGAAUUCAGUGAAUCAUCGAAUCUUUGAACGCACAUUGCGCCCUUUGGUAUUCCUUAGGGCAUGCCUGUUCGAGCGUCAUUUAAACCUUCAAGCUAAGCUUGGUGUUGGGUGACUGUACGCUUCACUGCGGACUCGCCUCAAAAUUAUUGGCGGCCGGUACAUUGGCUUCGAGCGCAGCAGAAACGCGAACUCGGGCCCGUCGUAUUGGCUCCCAGAAGCUAUCUUCACAAUUUUGACCUCGGAUCAGGUAGGGAUACCCGCUGAACUUAAGCAUAUCAAUAAGCGGAGGA
rnacentral:misc_RNA from 1 species